ACGAACGCUGGCGGCGUGCCUAAUACAUGCAAGUCGAACGGCUUUUCUAUGGAAGCUUGCUUCCACUGAGAAGAUAGUGGCGAACGGGUGAGUAACACGUGGGUAACCUGCCCAUAAGAGGGGGAUAACAUCCGGAAACGGGUGCUAAUACCGCAUAGUUUUCUUGAUCGCAUGAUCGGGAAAGGAAAGACGGCCUUUGUGCUGUCGCUUAUGGAUGGACCCGCGGCGUAUUAGUUAGUUGGUGAGGUAACGGCUCACCAAGACGAUGAUACGUAGCCGACCUGAGAGGGUGAUCGGCCACAUUGGGACUGAGACACGGCCCAAACUCCUACGGGAGGCAGCAGUAGGGAAUCUUCCGCAAUGGACGAAAGUCUGACGGAGCAACGCCGCGUGAGUGAAAGAAGGUUUUCGGAUCGUAAAACUCUGUUGUCAGAGAAGAACAAGUUGGAGAGUAACUGCUCCAGCCUUGACGGUAUCUGACCAGAAAGCCACGGCUAACUACGUGCCAGCCGCCGC
rnacentral:rRNA from 1 species